AGCCCAAGCCAUAAGAAGCCAUGUGGGCCGUCUACUCACCAGCCCCGCUGAGCUCAAAGCCAACUGGCCGCCGUGUGAGUCAGUCAUCUUGAACCUCCAGCCCCGUGAAGCCUUCAGCCCCAGGCACCAUCCGAAUGCAAGCACAGGAGAAAUCCCGAGUGAGAACCACCCAGCUGAACCAGUCGGCCAGGGGAGUCGGGAGACGCGAGAGGAAGUUGCUUCAGCCACCACGUCUGGGGAGAGCAAUAAAGGAGAGUCUCCCUUGCUGCACAUCCUUUGCCAGCAUCUGGUGUUCUCAGUGUUCUGGAUUUGGGCCGUUCUAAUAGAGAGAGAGAAAGAGGGAGCACGCAUGCAUGCCCACAAGCAGGAGGGGCAGCAGGCAAAAGAAGAGGGAGAAGCAGACUCCCCUUUGAGCAGGGAGUCUGAUGCUGGGCUCCAUCCCAGGACCGUGGGAUCAUAACCUGAGCCAAAGGCAGAUGCUUAACCAACUGAGCCACCCAGGAAAACCAUGCCCCAGCUGAAUCAGAGAUUACAAGGGGCUCCCAUUCUGAGCCUGAAGAUCUUCCCUCUCCUCCUCCUGAGUUUUCUCAGCCUCUUUCCCCAGGGAAAUUUUAUUUAUUUGACAGAGAGAGACACAGCGAGAGAGGGAACACAAGCAGUGGGAGUGGAAGAGGGAGAAGCAGGCUUCUCACGGAGCAGGGAGCCCGAUGCGGGGCUCGAUCCCAGGACCCUGGGACCAUGACCUGAGCCGAAGGCAGACGCUUAACAACUGAGCCACCCAGCGCCCCUGUUAUUUAACUGUUCUAAAUAACUUAUUCCUUGGCCAAAUUAGAGUGCUCCUUCACGUUUUGCUCAACAGGAACUGAAUUGAAUCGAAAUAAUCCAAGCAUCAUGAUAAACCUCACUGCUCUCCAGGUAGACAGUUAAGCCUUGGAUCGAAGAGAUGGAUGUGGGAUGUCACUAAGGAAACAGAGAAAGUUCCCAUAUCCCAGUUCCUAAAGAACCCACAGGUGUUAGCACAUUGUCAACUGAAGGAAACACGGUAUGUCGGUCUGUAUGCUUUCUUUAAAAAGUUCUUAGGCACAUAACCAGUUUGCAGAGGCCCCAGUCAGCUCCAUGCUCUGGCCCCACAUUGUCAGAACACCACUCCCCACUUCCUGCUGAGGCUCCCAUAAAUACUUCGGUGGAGAUUGAAACUAAUCCUUAAUGAAGAAAGUAGAGGAGGGAAGAAGUUUGGUUUAACAUCAAAGGCAAGGAAAGGCGGAAAGAACAUUCUUCAUAGUGUUUCUAAAAAUAGCUUAAGUCAAUAAACUUCAUUCAAAGUUGUUCAAAUAUGAAAAAUUAAAUAGAAAUCUGGUGUUGUCAUUAUUCCAAGAGUUUACUAGAAAGCAAAACACAUCACCUUGAUUUGUGUGACAGCACAGACAGAAGACAAUCUCUUCUUAAGUCUUGUGCAAAAAAAACCCAUUUUGGACAACAGGGUCCACCUUUGGCUUGUGAGCAAGUUAGUUUGGGGCUUGGUAUUUGCCUGCAAGAGAGGGAUCAGGACAAAAAUGACCAACAAAAUAAAAAUGGUGGUACAUUUAUCAACUGCUUCUGUUUUCACCUUCACUUCCCAUCUGUAUGCUCUGGCUCUUCAU